GAAGAAAAUCGAAGACAUUAGGUUAAAUAUAUCCCAGCAUACCUUAACUCAGACACUACGCCCUGUUAUCGAGGUGGAUGCCAUUACUGAGGUAUUACCUAGAUUUACAGAAUUUGAUAGUAUCUCACUAGCCGUGCUGACUAAACUUUUAACAACUGCUAAAAGCACAACCUGCUUAUUCGACCCGAAACCAACAAAACUGUUUAAAAAGUUACAAUCUGGUAAGUCCCCUGGUCCAGAUGAACUCAGUGUGGAGUUCUAUAAAUAAUUCCAUGAUAUAUUAAUUGAUCCUCUGUUGUACAUGCUUAAUGACUCCCUAACUAAAGGCACAUUACCACAGUCCCUUAGAGAAGCAAAUAUUUCCUUGAUUCUUAAAGAAGGCAAGAUUCCUGAAGACUGCACAUCAUAUAGACCCAUCUCAUUAUUAAACAUCGACCAGAAAAUUCUUUCUAAAGUGUUAGCAGUCAGGUUGGAUAAAGUAUUACCCGUCUUAAUUAAAGAGGACCAAACUGGAUUCAUGCACCGUAUACUAAAUAUAAGUCGAUACUUCCAAUAUCACUCUAAAAGCAGCAUUGUGCUCUCCCUAGAUGCGGAGAAGGCAUUUGACUGCAUAGAGUGGUCCUACUUGUUUAAUACACUGAAUAAGUUUGGUCUGGGAACAAUCUUUGUAAACUGGAUUAAAAUCCUGUAUAAAAGUCCUCUCUCAGCAGUACUCACAAAUGGAUUGCUCUUACCCUACUUUGCUAUAUCUCGAGGAACAAGGCAGGGGUGCCCCUGGCUGAGGUCAUCAGAGAGAAUGAUAGCAUUAGUGGUCUUUGAAUUGCGGCUAGGGAACAUAAAAUCACACUUUAUGCUGAUGAUGUUUUGACUGUCAUGAUGGAUCCAGAGACCUCUAUUCCCUGCCUUAUUGAGACAAUCAAUGUUUUCAAUAGUUUUUCAGGCAACAAGAUAAACUUUACCAAGUCUGAGGCUAUGCCUCUGGGCCUUUUUAACUUGUAACAAGCUUCUGUGAGAUCUUUUCCCUUUAAAUGGUCUCUGGAGGGUUUUACUUACUUGGGAAUACACGUAAGUCCUAAAUUUGAACAGAUGUAUAAAGCAAACAUUCCCCCUUUGUUUGACUGCAUUUGGCUUGACCUGGAGAGAUAGAACACACUUCCUAUUUCCUGAAUGGGUUGAAUAGCUUUAUUAAAAAUGAAUGUUCUCCCCAGGUUACUCUUCCCACUUCAAAUGGUUCCGGUAAUGUUGUCUCACAAGAUAAUUAAACAGUUUAAUAGUUGGUUUGGUUCCUUUAUUUGGUCUAACAGAAAGGCAUGCCUCAAGAUGGCCAUGUUAUGGUGCCCCUCUGUAAAGGGAGGAUUAGAUCUUCCAGACAUUAAAAAUUACCUCCUGAGCACACAUUUACGAAUCCUAGCCGACUGGGUGCAUAAUAAACCUAACUCAUUAUGGACGGAUAUAGAAAGUUCCAUGUCUGAAUGUCCAUUAGCAACCCUAUUGUUUCUCAGAAAGAUCUGAUCCAUAAGGCUCGCUUGCUCUAAUCCGAUUAUUCUUAAUACAGCUACAGCAUGGCGGACGGUAAGAAGCCUAGAAAGCCGUACAAAUAUAAUGUCUAUGUUUACACCAUUAUGGAAUAAUCCUGAGUUUGUACCAGGCAUGAAAGAUAAUAGAUUUCAAAAUUGGGCACAUACAGGUUUAUCUAAACUGAAGGACUUUUUGAGGGACAUGUUCUUAUGUAUUUUAAUCAGUUAAAAGGAAAAUUUGAUAUUCCUACAAGGGAUUUUAUCAAUAUCUGCAGGCGAGGGAUUUUGUUUGUAGGAAUGUUCCAGAUUCUGUACAUCAGGGCAUAUCAGACACAGAGAGGCAAUUUUUUUUUUUUUUUUACCAGGUCACCUGGCUCCAUUAGAAUAUUCUACAAUAUCUUUAAAAGGACUCUACAGUCCACACCUGACAUUUGAGGGAACUGUGGGAGAAGGAACUCAACUGUAUAAUUUCUGAAGAUGAGUGGAAGGAUACCUGGAGCAAUAUGAAAACUUUAUGUGUCUGUAAUAGAGUUAGAGCAACUCAGCUCAUGAUUCUCCACAGAGCCCAUAUUUCUCUGUAUCUUUGCCAUAAAUUUAAGCUUGAUUCUUCCCCAUUGUAUUUAAUGUGUAAAGUUGAGACUGGUACCCUCACAUAUCGCUUUUGGUGGUGCUCAAAAGUACAACAUUUCUGGCAGAUGAUCAGACAGGAACUGAACAAAAUAUUCUUAAAUGCUCUGAACUGCAACCCUUUGUUUCUGUUGCUUGGGUUAACUGAUCCUAUUGUCACUGACAGAUUUCAUAAGAAACUGUACCGAAUGCUCACUUUUUGUGGCAGAAAGUGUUUGCUUAUUAAUUGGAUUUCAGACCAGAUUCCCAAUAGGACUUAAUGGCAUAAGACUGUUUUCAGUAUGUUUCCCUGGACUGUCUCACCUGUCGAUGACACCACAAGGAUGACGUCUUCCAUAAGACUUGGGAACUUUUCAUGACAUACGUGGGACCGGAAAUUUCAUUCAUCGUUAAAAGAGCAUUUGUAUUUUGAACAUAAAAGUGUCACCAUCUGUACGGGCCACUGUUUGUUUGUUGGUUGGUUUGUUUAUCACCUUAUUUAGUCUUUUAUUUGUUUAUUGUCUCUUUGUAUGAGAGUGUUUAUAAAAUGAAAAAGGCAAUAAACAUAUUUUGAAAAAAAAAAAAACCUGUUUAAUAACCGCUAAUGUGUUU